rnacentral:rRNA from 1 species
AUUGAACGCUGGCGGCAGGCUUAACACAUGCGAGUCGAGCGGGGUGAUGGUGCUUGCACUAUCACUUAGCGGCGGACGGGUGAGUAAUGCUUAGGAAUCUGCCUAUUAGUGGGGGACAACAUCCCGAAAGGGAUGCUAAUACCGCAUACGUCCUACGGGAGAAAGCAGGGGAUCUUUAUGACCUUGCGCUAAUAGAUGAGCCUAAGUCGGAUUAGCUAGUUGGUGGGGUAAAGGCCUACCAAGGCGACGAUCUGUAGCGGGUCUGAGAGGAUGAUCCGCCACACUGGGACUGAGACACGGCCCAGACUCCUACGGGAGGCAGCAGUGGGGAAUAUUGGACAAUGGGGGGAACCCUGAUCCAGCCAUGCCGCGUGUGUGAAGAAGGCCUUAUGGUUGUAAAGCACUUUAAGCGAGGAGGAGGCUCUUUUGGUUAAUACCCAGAAUGAGUGGACGUUACUCGCAGAAUAAGCACCGGCUAACUCUGUGCCAGCAGCCGCCGCCG